UUGAGUAUCCCAAGGCGCGUGAGAGAACGCUGGUUAAGGAACUCGGCAAAUUAACACCGUAACUUCGGGAGAAGGUGUGCCCUUUGACGUGCAGGACUUUACGUCUGAAGCGUUGGGGGGUUGCAGAGAAACGGGGGUUGCGACUGUUUACUAAAAACACAGGACUCUGCGAACUCGCAAGAGGACGUAUAGGGUCUGACGCCUGCCCGGUGCUGGAAGGUUAAGGGGAGUUGUCAGCGUAAGCGAAGCAACGAACUGAAGCCCCAGUAAACGGCGGCCGUAACAAUAACGGUCCUAAGGUAGCGAAAUUCCUUGUCGGGUAAGUUCCGACCUGCACGAAUGGCGUAACGACAUCCCCACUGUCUCGACCAGCGACUCAGCGAAAUUGUAAUCGCGGUGAAGAUACCGUGUACCCGCGGCAAGACGGAAAGACCCCAUGAACCUUUACUGCAACUUGACAGUGAAGCUCGGGACAGACUGCGUAGGAUAGGUGGGAGGCUGUGAAGCCGGGAUUCUGGUCUCGGCUGAGCCAACCUUGAAAUACCACCCUGUUUGUUCUGGGCUUCUAACCCAGGCGUGUAAGCCACGCCGGGGACACUGUCUGGUGGGCAGUUUGACUGGGGCGGUCGCCUCCCAAAAAGUAACGGAGGCGCGCGACGGUUCCCUCAGGCUGAUUGGAAACCAGCCGUAGAGUGUAAUGGCAUAAGGGAGCUUGACUGUGAGACCGACAGGUCGAGCAGGUGCGAAAGCAGGUCAUAGUGAUCCGGCAGUUCUGUAUGGAAGGGCUGUCGCUCAUCGGACAAAAGGUACUCUGGGGAUAACAGGCUGAUCGCGCCUGAGAGUUCAUAUCGGCGGCGCGGUUUGGCACCUCGAUGUCGGCUCAUCGCAUCCUGGGGCUGGAGCAGGUCCCAAGGGUUUGGCUGUUCGCCAAUUAAAGCGGUACGCGAGCUGGGUUUAGAACGUCGUGAGACAGUUCGGUCCCUAUCUGCCGUGGGCGUAGGAUACUUGAGAGGGUCUAACCUAGUACGAGAGGACCUGGUUGGACGUACCUCUGGUGAUCCGGUUGUUCCGCCUGGAGCAUCGCCGGGUAGCUAUGUACGGAAUGGAUAACCACUGAAAGCAUCUAAGUGGGAAGCCAGCCUCAAGAUGAGGUAUCCCGGGGCCUUGAGCCCCCUGAAGGCCCGUCGAAGACUACGACGUAAUAGGCUGGGUGUGGAAGCGCAGCAAUGUGUGGAGCUAACCAGUACUAAUCGGCCGUGAGGCUUGACGU
rnacentral:rRNA from 1 species